rnacentral:sRNA from 18 species
UGGUCUGGUUGGAAAACCAGGGACCACCCCAGGUGUGGGCGGGGAACCUGCCC